ACGAACGUUGGCGGCGUGCCUAAUACAUGCAAGUCGAGGGAGAAACCCGGGGCAACUCGGGGAGUAAACCGGCGAAAGGGUGAGUAAUACAUAGAUAACGUACCCCUCGGAUCGGGAUAACCCCGCGAAAGCGGGGCUAAUACCGGGAGAUGACGGGAUGUGACAUCUUGUUCCGUCCAAAGGUGCGGGAAACCGUGCCGCCGGGGGAGCGGUCUAUGGCCUAUCAGCUAGUUGGCGGGGUGACGGCCCACCAAGGCUAUGACGGGUAGCCGGACUGAGAGGUUGACCGGCCACACGGGAACUGAGACACGGUCCCGACACCUACGGGUGGCAGCAGUAGGGAAUAUUGCGCAAUGGGCGAAAGCCUGACGCAGCGACGCCGCGUGGGGGAUGAAGGCCUUCGGGUUGUAAACCCCUUUCAUGAGGGACGAACACUGACGUUACCUCAGGAAGAAGCACCGGCUAACUCCGU
rnacentral:rRNA from 1 species